UUUUUGAUUAAUAAUUUAAAGUCUAAUCUGCCCACUGAUAUUAUAUUAAAGGGCUGCAGUAUUUUGACUGUACAAAGGUAGCAUAAUCAUUAGUCUCUUAAUUGGUGACUUGUAUGAAAGAUUUGAUGAAAUAUAUACUGUCUCUUUUUAAUUUAUAAAAUUUAAUUUUUUGGUUAAAAAGCUAAAAUAUAUUUAAAAGACGAGAAGACCCUAUAGAGUUUUAUAUUUAAUUAAAUUAAAAUUUUUUAUAAGAUUUAAAAUUUUAAUAUAUUUAAAUAUUAUGUUGGGGUGACAAAAAAAUUUGAAUAACUUUUUUUAUAUAUUAACAUUAAUAAAUGAAUAAAGGAUCCGUAAUUUACGAUUAUAAGAAAAAAUUACCUUAGGGAUAACAGCGUAAUUUUUUUUUUUAGUUCAAAUAAGAAUAAAAGUUUGCGACCUCGAUGUUGGAUUAAGAUAAAAUUUAAAUGCAAAAGUUUAAAAUUUUUGAUCUGUUCGAUCAUUAAAAUCUUACA
rnacentral:rRNA from 1 species